rnacentral:rRNA from 1 species
UACAGAGGUCCCGAGCGUUGUUCGGAUUCACUGGGCGUAAAGGGUGCGCAGGCGGUCUGUUAAGACCGAUGUGAAAUCCCCGGGCUUAACCUGGGAACUGCAUUGGUGACUGGCAGGCUUUGAGUGUGGCAGAGGGAGGUAGAAUUCCACGUGUAGCAGUGAAAUGCGUAGAGAUGUGGAGGAAUACCGAUGGCGAAGGCAGCCUCCUGGGCCAACACUGACGCUCAUGCACGAAAGCGUGGGGAGCAAACAGG